UGCCUAUGCGUACAUGAGUAGGUGCAGAU
rnacentral:piRNA from 1 species